UCGUAACAAGGUUUCCGUAGGUGAACCUGCGGAAGGAUCAUUACUGAGUGCGGGCUGCCUCCGGGCGCCCAACCUCCCACCCGUGACUACCUAACACUGUUGCUUCGGCGGGGAGCCCUCUCGGGGGCGAGCCGCCGGGGACUACUGAACUUCAUGCCUGAGAGUGAUGCAGUCUGAGUCUGAAUAUAAAAUCAGUCAAAACUUUCAACAAUGGAUCUCUUGGUUCCGGCAUCGAUGAAGAACGCAGCGAACUGCGAUAAGUAAUGUGAAUUGCAGAAUUCAGUGAAUCAUCGAGUCUUUGAACGCACAUUGCGCCCCCUGGCAUUCCGGGGGGCAUGCCUGUCCGAGCGUCAUUGCUGCCCAUCAAGCCCGGCUUGUGUGUUGGGUCGUCGUCCCCCCCGGGGGACGGGCCCGAAAGGCAGCGGCGGCACCGUGUCCGGUCCUCGAGCGUAUGGGGCUUUGUCACCCGCUCGAUUUAGGGCCGGCCGGGCGCCAGCCGACGUCCAACCAUUUUUCUUCAGGUUGACCUCGGAUCAGGUAGGGAUACCCGCUGAACUUAAGCAUAUCAAUAAGCGGAGGAAAAGAAACCAACCGGGAUUGCCCCAGUAACGGCGAGUGAAGCGGCAAGAGCUCAAAUUUGAAAUCUGGCCCCUCCGGGGUCCGAGUUGUAAUUUGCAGAGGAUGCUUCGGGUGCGGCCCCUGUCUAAGUGCCCUGGAACGGGCCGUCAGAGAGGGUGAGAAUCCCGUCUUGGGCAGGGUGCCCGUGCCCGUGUGAAGCUCCUUCGACGAGUCGAGUUGUUUGGGAAUGCAGCUCUAAAUGGGUGGUAAAUUUCAUCUAAAGCUAAAUACCGGCCGGAGACCGAUAGCGCACAAGUAGAGUGAUCGA
rnacentral:misc_RNA from 1 species